rnacentral:rRNA from 1 species
UACGUAGGGUGCGAGCGUUGUCCGGAAUUAUUGGGCGUAAAGGGCUCGUAGGCGGUCUGUUGCGUCAGGAGUGAAAACUCGGGGCUUAACCCCGAGCCUGCUUCUGAUACGGGCAGACUAGAGGUAUGCAGGGGAGAACGGAAUUCCUGGUGUAGCGGUGAAAUGCGCAGAUAUCAGGAGGAACACCGGUGUCGAAGGCGGUUCUCUGGGCAUUACCUGACGCUGAGGAGCGAAAGUGUGGGGAGCGAACAGG